GCGUCGGUAGUGUAACGGUUAACAUUGGGUCUUCCCAUAUAUAAUCAGUGUAUGAUGAAUUGGCCUAGCUCCGGGUUCGACUCCCGGCCGACGCA